GUAUUCGCUGGUUUUGAAAAGUUGCUAAAUGCUUAUCACUCGAGGGCUCUCCAGUAUCAUUUCUUCAUAUGAAAGGGACUGUUCGAGCGGUGGCAUCUUGGUUCCCGUCUUCCAAGACCAAGAACCCAGUGUCCAAAGUCCAAACAUCCUUGCGUCCUCCAUCUUGCCUACCCUCCUGCUCUCGAAAUAAACGAUGCUCAUAGUUUAACAAUAAGUACGUAAGUAGGUAUACCCUCAAAUUAAAAUGUGCAGUGGCGUGGCGUGCUUUGCGAUAUAUCGAUUGUUAUGUCAUUUAAACCUAUAGCGCUGUCUCCACUCGUCAAAAUGGACAUUCAAAAUGGCUCAACGAUGCGAUGUUGAGUGUUGCCUCUCAAAAUAGAGCGGCGCGACUCUAUUUUGUUCAACAGCCAUCGCAAUCAGACAACGAUGAUGGAAAGCAUAACAUAACCUUCGUUCUCCUUUACUUCUUUUCGACUCGUGCGUGCCAAAGAAAUGUGACUGUAACUUAAGUGUAUUGUUAGAUUAAUGUAAAUAUAUUGUACACCGUACAGUGUACAUAAUUAUUAAUUUCACUUGAGUACCAUGGCGACCUGUCGGGUUUGAGGUUAUGUGCACUCCAAGAAGCACAACAAUGCUGCUGGACCAAUCAGGAGCCAGCUCUGGCGAUUUUUCAGUAGCGUAAGUGGAUGGGGCAGCUCAAAUUUGACGGACCAGUUUCGGAGCAUCGUUUACAUCGGAUUCAUUUUGAUCGUCCAUUUUGACCAAUGGACACAGGGCUUAUGGAAAAGGACCGAUAAACAGGGUGUUCGCAGCGAACACCUCAAUAAUCGAAUCUUUACCAUGGGUUUAAAUGGCAUUACAAUCGAUAUAUCGCAAAGCACGCCACGCCAUUGAUAAUGUGUAAACAGUAGUACCUAAGUAUACUGAUGCAAUCUCUGACUAAAAGAGCGGUCCUCGAACUCUGGUUUGCCAAUGACCGAACAACUCAUUAUGUACAACAUCCAAAUUGAGACAUAGUUUGCUCCUAUCAAGUUAUCUCUUUCUCGCUUGUUGGGGUUGCGUUGGGGCGGGCGGGCGGCGGGGCGCAAUGGGGAGGCGUGAAUGAUCGAUUAUAUCGAUAUUUCCCCAUUUGAAGCUAUGAUGAAGAAUCGAUUAUUAAGGUAGGUUCGUUGCGAACACCCUGUUUAUCGAUUCUUUUCCGUAGGUUUAAAUGGCAGAUCAAUCGAUACAUAGCAAAGCACGCCUCGCAGCACUAUGGAUAUCCCGGCCAUGUACCCCGCCGAGAUGGUGUUGCCCUGCAGGCUGUUUCGGUUUAAGUAGAGUUGCUGUCCUUUCAACUAUUAUGUUCUGCUAGGCCCUUCUGAUCACUAGCUAUUUUUUAUCUUUUUCUGUCUAUCGCAACAUAAUCUUUUCCUCUUGUUACUUCAA
rnacentral:lncRNA from 1 species